GAUGAACGUUGGCGGCGUGCUAAUACAUGCAAGUCGAACGAAGACUGUAGUAAUACUGUCUUAGUGGCGAACGGGUGAGUAACGCGUGGGUGACCUGCCCCGAAGUGUGGGAUAACAGUUCGAAAGGAUUGCUAAUACUGCAUAAUAUCCAAGAGAUUAGACGCUUUUGGAUUAAAGGAGUAAUUCGCUUCGGGAGGGGCCCGCGUCCCAUCAGCUAGUUGGUAAGGUAAUGGCUUACCAAGGCGAUGACGGGUAGGGGACCUGAGAGGGUGGCCCCCCACAAUGGAACUGAAACACGGUCCAUACACCUACGGGUGGCAGCAGUAGGGAAUAUUAGUAAUGGGCGAAAGCCUGAACUAGCAACGUCGCGUGUGCGAAGAAGGCCUUCGGGUUGUAAAGCACUUUUUGAGAGGAUGAGGAAGGACGGUACUCUCAGAAUAAGUCUCGGCUAACUACGUGCCAGCAACCACGGUAACACGUAGGAGGCAAACGUUAUCCGGAUUUACUGGGCGUAAAGCGCGUGUAGGUGGUUUGGUAAGUAGGGCGUGAAAGCUCCUGGCUCAACUGGGAGAGGACGUUCUAAACUGCCAAGCUUGAGGAUGGUAGAGGGAGGUGGAAUUCCGGGUGUAGCGGUGGAAUGCGCAGAUAUCCGGAGGAACACCAGUGGCGAAGGCGGCCUCCUGGACCACUCCUGACACUCAGACGCGAAAGCUAGGGUAGCAAACGGGAUUAGAGACCCCGGUAGUCCUAGCCCUAAACGAUGUAGACUUGGCGUCGGUGGUUUAAUCGCCAUCGGUGUCGUAGCUAACGCGUUAAGUCUACCGCCUGGGGACUACGGCCGCAAGGUUAAAACUCAA
rnacentral:rRNA from 1 species